rnacentral:rRNA from 1 species
UACGGGGGGGGCAAGCGUUGUUCGGAAUUACUGGGCGUAAAGGGCUCGUAGGCGGCCAACUAAGUCGGAUGUGAAAUCCCCAGGCUUAACCUGGGAACUGCAUCCGAAACUGGAUGGCUUGAAUCCGGGAGAGGGAUGCAGAAUUCCAGGUGUAGCGGUGAAAUGCGUAGAUAUCUGGAGGAAUACCGGUGGCGAAGGCGGCAUCCUGGACCGGCAUUGACGCUGAGGAGCGAAAGCUAGGGGAGCAAACGGG